CGACCCCAGGUCAAGCGGGAUUACCCGCUGAGUGUAAGCAUAUCAAUAAGCGGAGGAAAAGAAACUUACUAGGAUUCCCCCAAUAAUAGCGAGUGAACCAGGAAAAGCCUAGCUUGAGAAUUGGGCGCCACCGGCUUCUAAAUUGUAGUCUGAAAAAGUGUCCUUAGUAGUGGACAGAGCCUAAGUCCCCUGGAAAUGUAACACCCCAAACCCGAGACCAUCGCCGGUGUCGGACCCGAGGGUUAACAAACCAAGUUCACAUGUUUUUGCCCAACAAUUUGACAUUUCCAGUCAGGCUGGAAAACUGCGUCACUGUCGCCUUAAAAAUCAUAUCUCGAGUUUCAAAAC
rnacentral:ncRNA from 1 species